rnacentral:lncRNA from 1 species
ACUAAUAUGAAGAGGAAGGAAAAUGUGUGUUUUUGAAUCUCAUUGCAUUAUUCGAUUCAAAUAAGUGUUUUGUGUCUGUUAAAAAAGCAACGGAUUAUAAUGUGAAUGCUCAGUUUGAAAUAUGUCUAUCUUUGGAUGUAAUAAGACACAUUUAAUCUAUAGCGUGCGAAUGAUAUUCCAAAGAAAUGUGGACAUGGUGAAAUGUAUUUGAAAUGAACAGAACAGUGCAUUAUGGGUUGAUAUAGAGGACGUAAAUAUGUAUAUUACACAUGAAAUUUAGGUGAAGUGUAGGCAGAAUGUUAUUGAUGCAACACACAAGUUGUUAAGUAUGCAAAAUUUGUUGGCAACACUUUUGAUAUUGAU